rnacentral:rRNA from 1 species
GUGCAGCAGUCGCGAAAUUUUCUCAAUGGGGGAAACCCUGAAGGAGCGACGCCGCGCGGAGGAUGAAGGCUUUCGGGUUGUAAACUCCUGUCAUUUGAGAACAAGUGGCCGAACGUAACUACUUCGGCCUUGAUAGUAUCAGAAGAGGAAGGGACGGCUAACUCUGUGCCAGCAGCCGCGGUAAUACAGAGGUCUCAAGCGUUGUUCGGAUUUAUUGGGCGUAAAGGGUGCGUAGGUGGCGCCGUAAGUCGGGUGUGAAAUUUCGGAGCUUAACUCCGAAACUGCAUUCGAUACUGCGGUGCUUGAGGACUGGAGAGGAGACUGGAAUUUACGGUGUAGCAGUGAAAUGCGUAGAGAUCGUAAGGAAGACCAGUGGCGAAGGCGGGUCCCUGGACAGUUCCUGACACUGAGGCACGAAGGCCAGGGGAGCAAACGGGAUUAGAUACCCCGGUAGU